UACAGAGGGGGCCAGCGUUAUUCGGAAUUAUUGGGCGUAAAGGGCGCGUAGGCGGCCACGCGUGUCUUCCGUGAAAUCCCUCGGCUCAACCGAGGACGUGCGGAAGAAACUGCGAGGCUCGAGUCCAGAAGAGGGGGGCGGAAUUCCCAGUGUAGCGGUGAAAUGCGUAGAUAUUGGGAGGAACACCGGUGGCGAAGGCGGCCCCCUGGGCUGGUACUGACGCUGAUGCGCGAAAGCGUGGGUAGCAAACGGGAUUAGAACCCUUGUAGUCC
rnacentral:rRNA from 1 species